UAUUUAUUAGUUUAAAUUAAAACAUUAUAUUUUCAAUAUAAAAAUAAAAGAUUUUUUUAUAAAUUA
rnacentral:tRNA from 1 species